rnacentral:rRNA from 1 species
CACGCCGCGUGAGUGAUGAAGGUUUUCGGAUCGUAAAGCUCUGUUGUUAGGGAAGAACAAGUACCGUUCGAAUAGGGCGGUACCUUGACGGUACCUAACCAGAAAGCCACGGCUAACUACGUGCCAGCAGCCGCGGUAAUACGUAGGUGGCAAGCGUUGUCCGGAAUUAUUGGGCGUAAAGGGCUCGCAGGCGGUUUCUUAAGUCUGAUGUGAAAGCCCCCGGCUCAACCGGGGAGGGUCAUUGGAAACUGGGGAACUUGAGUGCAGAAGAGGAGAGUGGAAUUCCACGUGUAGCGGUGAAAUGCGUAGAGAUGUGGAGGAACACCAGUGGCGAAGGCGACUCUCUGGUCUGUAACUGACGCUGAGGAGCGAAAGCGUGGGGAGCGAACAGGAUUAGAUACCCUGGUAGUCCACGCCGUAAACGAUGAGUGCUAAGUGUUAGGGGGUUUCCGCCCCUUAGUGCUGCAGCUAACGCAUUAAGCACUCC